UUUGGCUGUACUUCUGGUUUUCAGAAGAUCUCAUAGUUGAUUAGAAAAAUAAUCUGUUAAAACUUUCCAGGUCAUGAAAGCAUAUUGUUGGGAGAAAAAACAACAAGUUGGAAUUAAAAACAAACAAACCAAGUAGGCUAGGCAAGGUCUUAGGCGUGACUGGAACCAGCUGAAGAAAAUGUGGCCCCAUCAGAACGUUCAGCAAGUCUUUGUAAUAAAUGCCCUUGGCAAGCAAACACCAUCAGAGCAAGAACUACUUUCCAGUACCAUUGAGAGGAAAGCACUGGCAAGCACUGUGGAAAUGUGACAGAAAAAAAAAGCCAACCAAAGAGAGGAUUUGGUCCCAGUCCACCUUUGUAAUUCAACCAGUUCAUUUGGAAGUAGCAUGUCAUCGUUACCACACGGGAAAUCUCAGGAAUCUCAGUGUCCAACAUGGGAGAGGAUACUGUCAUAUACUUCUUCCAUUUAAACUUCACAAGAACGCUUUUAAAUGAC
rnacentral:lncRNA from 1 species